UCUCACGCAAGCACCAAGAAGAUAUAGAGCUAAAUCAACAGACCAUGAUUUGUUGGCUCUACCAAGUAUAAACUAGCCGCUGGAAAAUCAAGUUGAAAACAUAGGACAAAUCUAUGAAAGAAACAAGCCACAGCUUGCAGGAAAGAAAAUGUUUGCAGAAAACUCCAGCAUUACAGGUUUAUCUAAGAUUUCAUCCGGGAAACACAGUAUAUUCAGAUGUUAUGUCUCCUUAGGCUCAUUUGUUCUCAGACUUUUCAUAGCUUUUGAUGACCUUGACAGUUUCGAGAAAUAUAUCUGUAUAAAGUCCAAAAGUUUGUCUGAUGUUUUCUUGAAGUUAUACUGGAGUUAAUGUGCUUUGGGGAGGAAGACUUCAAAGGUAAAAUGCCUUUUUCAUACAUCAUACCAAGGGUGCAUAAUAUCAACAUUACUUAUCACAAUAUUAACC
rnacentral:lncRNA from 1 species